rnacentral:rRNA from 1 species
UACGUAGGGGGCAAGCGUUGUCCGGAUUUAUUGGGCGUAAAGAGCGUGUAGGCGGCUAGGUAGGUGGGUUGUGAAAACUGGAGGCUCAACCUUCAGACGUCGACCCAAACCCCCUGGCUAGAGUCCGGGAGAGGUGAGUGGAACUGCGAGUGUAGAGGUGAAAUUCGUAGAUAUUCGCAAGAACACCAGUGGCGAAGGCGGCUCACUGGCCCGGUACUGACGCUGAGGUGCGAAAGCGUGGGGAGCAAACAGG